CAAGCACUUCCUUUACAGCCUGCCACACUUUUUUAUUGCAUUUCCCCCUCAAUUAGUACACUACAACAAAAGCACUGUGUUAGAUCGGAAGAGCCCCCCCCCCCCCCCCCCCCCCCCCCCCCCCCCCCCCCCCCCCCCCCCCCCCAGGCAAGGCAACACUCUGGCAGUCGGCCAAGAGAGCCACACAGAUUAUUGCAUACGCACGGCACCGCCGGGCCAAGGCGGCCUUUAACCCUUUGCGAGCCGCCGCACGCUGCCCGGGGGCGGGGAGGGGGGCUGGGGGCUCGCCUCGACACUUACCUCCUCCUUCCCCUUGUAACACUUCAAAGGCCAGGCUGCCUCUCUAUGGUGGGAUUAAUCCCUGCGCACGCCAAUGUUCCAGAGAAGUCCCCCCCCCCCCCCCCCCCCCCCCCCCCCCCCCCCCCCCCCCCCCCCCCCCCCCCCCCCCCCCCCCCCCCCCCCCCCCCCCCCCCCCCCCCCCCCCCCCCCCCCUCCUGUAGCAGGCUGCGUCGCGGGGCUCUCAAAUCACUUUGCAGGCAGAAAGAAAUGAGAUGGGGAGGGGAGAAAAAAAAAAAAAGACACAACCCAACCCCAAACCUAUAUUGUUUAAGGGGGAAGAAACAGACAGCUAGCAACGUGUGCUGUCCUUCAGAAAUGGCAGGAAAUGCUGGUUUAAAGGAUGCAUGAAAAUCGGUUGCUCAGUCAAGGCUGGUCUGUCUCUCUAAGGGAGGAAACAAAACUGCUGGAAACCAGGGAAUGCUCUGAAGCAGCCUCUGCGAGAGUCAGAAGAGGGUGAUUUUAUUUAAGAUGCCAUAUUGCAUUUCGCUGUGGCGAACUGUGAAGUGAUUUAGAGCAAGAGCCUGCAUCCCACUCCCUUUUUCUGAAUUAGUUUUAUUUAUCCGGAUCCUUGGCAUAUGCUUGAGUUGCUUUGUAGAAAGUACCUUCCACUUCAUUCAGACCAAAGAGAGUCUGACUCAUACCGUCACUGAACUACAAGACAGGCAGGGCUGAACCACGCAUGUUUGGGUACUAACUCCCUCUGGAUUCCUCAGCACUGGUUUCAUCAAAGAUCCCUUUGCAUGUCUCCCAGCUGCCUGCAGACCACUGUGAGCCUCUCCUGAACUUCACCCCCACCUCCCGCGAUCUAUGGCAACUUACACUCCCCUGGCACUCCAGCAUCAGUGUGUUACUCUCUUACUUCCCUCAACGCAGGUGCCUGCAAGUGCCAUAAACUGCACUGAUGGGCAAGUAACAAGCACAGAUGCAAAACAGAGAUCAGAGGAAAUACCUUCCUUCUCGACUGUUUCAGUCUGGUCUUCAUUUAAAAAAAAAUUUAAAAACCAAAAAAACAACACCCCCCCCCAAAUCAACUUACCAAGCUAGGUACAAAGAAAUAAAACAAAUUAUGAAAGCAAUGAAUAGGAUGAGUGCAGCCAAAGGAUAGUGGGAUGCUAUGCUGGCAUGCAACCCAACAGUGGUCCAUAAGAAACUAUUCACUCUCUGCUUUGGCAUCAGGAAGAGAAGUAGAGCACAGAGGCCUCUCCCCACCCCAAGAACAUUGCAAAAAAAUGUUGCAUAAAUACCAAGGGCUGUUACAUGCUGACUCCAAGGAGCUGGAUGUUGUGGGGUCCCAGGCCUCAGAAAGGCACUCCAUGUAGCAUAGACAUCCAGAUCAAGUUGUUUAUUGCAGUUUGUACAUUUUGCCAUGACAAUAAGCUCCAAGGUACCAGGUUUCUAGCAGGUAUACCUCAUAUGUGUCCAUUUUAUAUUAGCAUAAUGUUUUAGCUGUGAAGUAAAUCUAGCACUAGAGUCUAGAUGCAAAGUACCCUAGGAUUCAGCCUGCCAUUAUGCAGAUCAGCAAAGGAGUCCCCUAGGAUUCAGCCUGCCAUUAUGCAGAUCAGCAAGGGAGUCCCUUCUAUAAAGGACUGAAAUGACUUACUAUAAUUGCUAAGGAAUGUAGUAAUAACAUUGUAAACUUCUAUAAAGGACUGAAAUGACUUACUAUAAGGAAUGUAGUAAUAACAUUGUAAGCUGCAGUGUUCUGGAUUUAAGAGUUGAUACUGUAAUACAGACUAGCUCUAUGAAACAAGGAUCUUUCACCAUAGCAUCUCCUGUAUCUUCAGUUUGGGUUCACUAUGAAAAUCAAUAUGAUUUUCUGUUCUAGCAGUGAUCUGGAGACAGAAGCAGCAAUAGACCAAGAUACCUGGCCAAACAUGCCACUCAGUACUACGAGAGAGAUAAUCUACAGCAGCAAAGCAGACAGCAAAAUUGUAUUCACCCAGCUAAUGUAAGGUUCAUUGAUUUAAUAAAAGGAACCAAGGGAAAGAGACAUAGACUGGAGAUUACUGAAAAUCAAGUGAAAGCCCAGAAGAAACUGAAAACACAUCAUCGAGGUUCAAUUCAGAGUACAAGGCAUUCUGUCUGCCACCUUUUUUAUUCCAGUAGUACAGAGCGUUACCUCAGGAGAAAGGAAUCUUUCCUUCUCAAACAUUCACCUUGCCAAGAGGUGUGGCAUGCACAGAGAAAGAGAAGCCACAUUCAUGCUGAAGCAAGCUUUGGGCAACUUUCCCUUCUGCAGCAGGCUCAUGUAAGAGGCUUG
rnacentral:lncRNA from 1 species